UAAAAGAUAGUUUAAUUUAGAAUAGCGGCUUGUGGGGCUGUAGGUGAUUUUUAGUCUCUUUU
rnacentral:tRNA from 1 species